GGAGACCCAGUUACACUGGUGCUGUAACAGACCCUCUGUACUGGACACACACACAAUACACUCACAGUGCAUACGACACACACAGAAACACACUGCAGAGACCAUAGAGACACAUAGUACAGACACACACUACACACAGUACACACACACACACACUGCAGCGCCCGCUCUCCCUACUCCUGUCUCUCGCUCCCUCUCUCCUCGCACACACAGCUCCUCCACCUGCAGGCUCUCUCCAGCUCCACACAGCGCCUCUCUGACCCGCCGUGCUUCUCCCGGCCGGUGCAGCGCUCCGGACCGCGGCUGACGGACACACAGACACGGCCGGAAGAUCAAACAUUUCGGGACCGCGGAGGGGGCUGGGAUCCCGGUCCCGGAGGCAGAGCUGAGUUCAGGUCACCUCACUCCGAGCUCCCCGGACCGUAUUUCCCGGUGCAGCGCUGUCGCUCUAGGACUCUGGACUGCGGUUCUGUAAAGCAGGACCCAACUGUCCCAGUAUACACAUUCGCCGCUCAUUGGAUCCGAGCCGGGGAGCCCAUAGCCGAGCCCACAGCCUGCUGCCUUGUUGGACCCGGAACGGGAGCAGCGGUCCUGCACUCCAAGGCCUCCUACUGUCGCCACCUGCUGGACGACAACAGUUCCUCUGCACUCAUCAUCCUGGGCUUCGUGGUGAUGUCGCCACUCAUUGUGGUCGCCAUGGCGAUCUACUGCGGCCUGGCUCGCCGGCUCCGCCUCUUCCUGCUCUUCCAGCCCUGCUCACGUGCACAGUACCACGGGGGGGGGUGGCGCGGGUGCGAGGGGCAGGGGGGCAACUGCUGCUGCUGGGGUGGGGAGAGGUUGAGCUCUGUCAAGGCCUGGGUCUGACCCUCACCGUGAGUCUCACCCUGUCUCACUCUCAUUGUCUCCACACACUCUCACUGUCUCGCCAUGUCUCACUUUACUGUGAGUCUCACCCUAUCAGUCUCAGUCUCUACACCCUGUCUCACUCUCACUGUGUCUUACACUGUCUCACUCUCACUGUCUCUACACCCUGUCUCACUCUCACUGUGAGUCUUACACUGUCUCACUCUCACUGUCUCUACAC
rnacentral:lncRNA from 1 species